UUUUUUGUUUUAACAGAGUUUGGGUUGAUAGGAAUCAUUCCAGAACUUGAAGAAGGGAAAAGUCUCUCCUGGAAAGCAUCCUAAAUGUAUUUAAUGUGGGAUAAGCUUGUGACUCCACACUGAUCUAUCUGCUUUCGCUCCGGGAAGAAUAAUCUUCCUGGUAAGGCAACAGCAGUUAGGAGGAGCAACGAAUUGGAAACUGCUGAAACUGUGGAUCUCCUAGCCCUUUUUUCUCAAUCCAUCAGCCCAUCACUAACAUAUCAUAGAACAGCCCAGGCUGGAAGGAACUUCGAAAGAUCAUGAUUCAGCCUUUCAUGGGAAAUGGAGCCUAGAUGAGA